rnacentral:rRNA from 1 species
UACGUAGGUGGCAAGCGUUGUCCGGAUUUAUUGGGUUUAAAGGGUGCGUAGGCGGCUUUGUAAGUCAGUGGUGAAAUAUGGCAGCUCAACUGUCAAGGUGCCAUUGAUACUGCGGAGCUUGAGUACAGAUGAGGUAGGCGGAAUUGACGGUGUAGCGGUGAAAUGCUUAGAUAUCGUCAAGAACACCUAUAGCGAAGGCAGCUUACUAGGCUGUAACUGACGCUGGAGGCACGAAAGUGUGGGGAUCAAACAGGA